UCUUCGGAUUACUCACAGGACAAACUCACAGGGCUAUUGACGUUUAUGUUUAGGACAAAGAAGAAUUUGAGUCGAAAAUUCGUUUUUCCUUUUAUGUUCUAUGCAUUUUUCAAACCUCUCUUUAAAUUGAAGACGUCGGGCUAUAGAUCUCAAUGUAACUGAUUAAGAAAAGAAAAUCAUCUACAAAAAUACGAAAGAGUUUGGACCCAAAUCGAUAUAGGUUCUAAUUCCAAGACGGCAAGGGAAAGAAACACGAGUCGCCACGGCACAACUACGCCACAGCCGCAUCACAGUAUGAUCUAGUCUAUAUAUUGGCAACACGAAAUCCACACCAUGAGAUGUGUUUUAAUUCUGUUGUUGUUAAGCUUCAGUUUAGAUAACUACCUUCUAUAUUUGGCAUUAAACUAAGGGAGAGAAUCGGAGAACAAAAUACGGGUAAGACAAAACACUGUUACAGUCUUUACGGCAAAAUGCCAAAGGACUACAGGAUUUCGAGCUUAUGAACGAGGCGACGUGAGAAUGUGUAUCUACUACGGUGGAAUAAAAAAGACCUACUACGAUGCUGACAAUCAUUGCAAAAGCCUUGGUUCUAGAUUGGCUUUACUGGAUAAGCCGAUUAAAAUUCAGAUGCUAUCAUCAUUUAGAAAUGCAUGGAUCAGAUUUUUGGCUGAUGAAACAAGAUGUUAUUGCAUGUAUUGCGAACCUGUUGUUACUUUAGAGAUGUGCCGUAAGAUUCUAAAAGUCUAUCUUUGUCAGAGAAAUAUAAUUGUAUAAAGCUCUAGACAAUGUCUUCGAUACUAUGGAAAAUAAACUGAAAGAUUGUAAAAUUUGA